UACGUAGGUGGCGAGCGUUGUCCGGAAUUACUGGGCGUAAAGGGUGCGUAGGCGGUAAGAUAAGUCAGAUGUGAAAUUCCGGGGCUUAACUUCGGAAUUGCAUUUGAAACUGUGUUACUAGAGUGCAGGAGAGGAAAGCGGAAUUCCAUGUGUAGCGGUGAAAUGCGUAGAUAUAUGGAGGAACACCAGUGGCGAAGGCGGCUUUCUGGACUGUAACUGACACUGAGGCACGAAAGCGUGGGGAGCAAAC
rnacentral:rRNA from 1 species